AACUCCGGGAAACCGGGGCUAAUACCGGAUAACCCGUUCCACCUCAGGUGGAGCGGUAAAAGAUGGCCUCUGGCUAUCACUUACAGAUGGGCCCGCGGCGCAUUAGCUAGUUGGUAAGGUAACGGCUUACCAAGGCGACGAUGCGUAGCCGACCUGAGAGGGUGAUCGGCCACACUGGGACUGAGACACGGCCCAGACUCCUACGGGAGGCAGCAGUAGGGAAUCUUCCGCAAUGGACGAAAGUCUGACGGAGCAACGCCGCGUGAGUGAUGAAGGUGUUCGGAUCGUAAAGCUCUGUUGUUAGGGAAGAACAAGUGCCGUUUGAAUAAGGCGGCACCUUGGACGGUACCUAACCAGAAAGCCACGGCUAACUACGUGCCAGCAGCCGCGGUAAUACGUAGGUGGCAAGCGUUGUCCGGAAUUAUUGGGCGUAAAGCGCGCGCAGGCGGUCUCUUAAGUCUGAUGUGAAAGCCCACGGCUCAACCGUGGAGGGUCAUUGGAAACUGGGAGACUUGAGUACAGAAGAGGAGAGUGGAAAUUCCACGUGUAGCGGUGAAAUGCGUAGAUAUGUGGAGGAACACCAGUGGCGAGGCGACUCUCGGUCUGUAACUGACGCUGAGGCGCGAAAGCGUGGGGAGCAAACAGGAUUAGAUACCUGGUAGUCCACGCCGUAAACGAUGAGUGCUAGGUGUUAGGGGUUUCGAUGCCCUUAGUGCCGAAGUUAACACAUUAAGCACUCCGCCUGGGGAGUACGACCGCAAGGUUGAAACUCAAAGGAAUUGACGGGGGCCCGCCACAAAGCAAGUGGAGCAUGUGGAUUUAAGUUCGAAGCAACGCGAAGAACCUUACCAGGUCUUGAAUCCUUUGACCACUCUAGAGAUAGAGCUUUCCCCUUCGGGGGACAAAGUGACAGGUGGUGCAUGGUGUCGUCAGCUCGUGUCGUGAGAUGUUGGGUUAAGUCCCGCAACGAGCGCAACCCUUGAUCUUAGUUGCCAGCAUUCAGUUGGGCACUCUAAGGUGACUGCCGGUGACAAACCGGAGGAAGGUGGGGAUGACGUCAAAUCAUCAUGCCCCUUAUGACCUGGGCUACACACGUGCUACAAUGGAUGGUACAAAGGGCUGCGAAAACCGCGAGGUUGAGCCCAACCCUCCAUAAAAGCCCCCCCCA
rnacentral:rRNA from 1 species